CAUAUAUCAUUUUUAAUUAAUUUUAAGAAUUUUUAUCGAAUCUUAAUUUAAUUCCAUUCUCGAUUCAUAAAAUAAAGAUUUUGAUUCUCGAUUUGACAACUAUGGUUAUUUAUAUUUCCUACUUUAUCUAGGAUUAAAAUUUUCCUAUUUUAUCUAGAUUUCCUACUAUGUUUUAAAUUAUCUAAACUUCUGAGAAAAUAGAUUUAUUUUCCUAUUAGGUGUUGGUGAUUAAAUCCCUGUAAAUAGCACAAUAUAGUAUAUUCUAUGUAUUUUCAGUUUUUGAAUUUUGAUUAAUAAAAUUCUAUUGAGAAUUUCUCCCCAAUACUUUGAGUAUUGUGAGUGUGUGUUCUUUGUGAGAUUCAAACUACAUUAGGUGGUAUUAGGAUGGGAAAAUCGCCCCCAUCAAGAUGGCUUACCUUGAUGGAGGAGGCGAUUAUAUUAGUUCUUGCGACAGUGAUUAGGGAACUAAAGCCAUUUAUCAUAGGAACAAAAUGUUGCGACGAAGGAAGCGACAUUUAGAGCAAUAGAUGAAUCUCAGAUUCGAGCAUAUAAAGAGACGCUUUGAGAGAUGCUUUGAAGAAAUUGCAGAUUGUCUUGGUGCUUUAAGAACUGAAACAAAAAGUAAUUGGGUUGACAAAGGAAAGAUAGGAGAUGGUAUAGCUCAUGGUGACCCUUUUUAUCGAUCAAUUCCUACACAUGGGCAAUCUUAUCUAUGUUGAAGAUUUGGAGGAAGAAGAUAACUAUGAGCCCAUCUGGUUCAAUAGACAUCAACAGUAUGAUGGUGACAGGAGAAGACACGCGUAUGGAAGAGAAAGGACCAAUCUGUACAUGGUUUAUGAUAAAGCAUUUGAUGAAACAAGAAAUUUUUUUCCUCUAUAUUAUGAGCAAAUUUUAUUCUAGCAGAAACAACAUUGCCAACAGAAGGUCCAACCAAGCCCUUAGCAGUUGAAAAAUGAAAAAGCAAAAAACAAAGGAAGCAUCGGGACUCAACAAAGCAACUUGACGUGGAGGAGCCUAAGCUUGAAGAAUUUGAAUUAGAAACUU
rnacentral:misc_RNA from 1 species